rnacentral:rRNA from 1 species
AUACAGAGGGUGCAAGCGUUAUUCGGAAUUACUGGGCGUAAAGCGCGCGUAGGCGAAUGAUUAAGUCAGUUGUGAAAGCCCUGGGCUCAACCUAGGAACUGCAUCUGAUACUGGUCGUCUAGAGUUUAAGAGAGGGAAGUGGAAUUCCAGGUGUAGCAGUGAAAUGCGUAGAUAUCUGGAGGAACAUCAGUGGCGAAGGCGACUUCCUGGCUUAAAACUGACGCUGAGGUGCGAAAGCGUGGGUAGCGAACGGGAUUAGAUACCCUAGUAGUCC